rnacentral:rRNA from 1 species
CCUACGGGGGGCUGCAGUGAGGAAUAUUGGUCAAUGGGCGGAAGCCUGAACCAGCCAAGUAGCGUGCGGGAUGAAGGCCCUACGGGUCGUAAACCGCUUUUGCACGGGGAUAACACCCUCCACUUGUGGAGGUCUGCAGGUACCGUGCGAAUAAGGGCCGGCUAAUUCCGUGCCAGCAGCCGCGGUAAUACGGAAGGCCCGAGCGUUAUCCGGAUUCAUUGGGCUUAAAGGGAGCGUAGGCGGGCGUUCAAGUCAGCUGUAAAAUCGCGCGGCUCAACCGCGCCCCGCAGUUGAAACUGGACGCCUUGAGUUCACAACAGGCAGGCGGAAUUCGUGGUGUAGCGGUGAAAUCCGUAGAUAUCUGGAGGAACAUCAGUGGCGAAGGCGGCCACCUGGACCGGUAUUGACGCUGAGGCGCGAAAGCGUGGGGAGCAAACAGGAUUAGAUACCCGGGUAGUC